rnacentral:lncRNA from 1 species
UUUUUCCAAUCAGAUUUGAAGUUUUACUUUAAUAAUUUACAUAGUAAAGUGUUCUUUAAACAUCAAUGUGUACUAUACCGAGGUGAAUUUCUAAUUCUGAUAAGAAAAUAGCAUGAUUGUAUCUAAAGGGAGAAAAAAAAGAGAUAAUUAAGUCUGUUGUUCUUCAUCAAUUAGGCAGAACUUAGAUGCAAAUCUUUGUGUGCUUUUGAUGUUGUUCUGCAAUAGUUGUUCUUCAUCAAUUGGGCAGAACUUAGAUGCAGAUCUUUGUGUACUUUUGAUGUUGUUCUGCAAUAGUUGUUCUUCAUCAAUUGGGCAGAACUUAGAUGCAAAUCUUUGUGUACUUUUGAUGUUGUUGUGCAGUAGAAUUUCUUCUAGAUAAUCUACACAAUAAAUGUUUGCAUGAAAUAGGUGAAACUCUAAUUCAAAUUGAGAAAAAAUGGUAUGAAAAACAUAAUUUUGUGCUUAUAAGUUUAGGAUUUUGGUAGUUUUAGAGUGCUAAUUAGAGUUGUUAAUUUUUGUUUAACAGCUGGAUCAUGCAGCAAAAAUUAAGAGCAGCCCAGAAGCAGAGAAGUACUAUGCUGUUGCUAUUUCUACUCUGAAUGAUGUCCUUGCCAAGCUUGGUUAAUGUGAUUAGUUUCUUGCUUUCUUCUGUAAGCUGCUUUGUCCAUGAUUUUCUCAGACACUUUGUUGACUGGUAUUACAUGAAAAUCAAAUGAUGAGGGAAAAUUUUCUAUAAAUAAGCAUAUUUAACAUUCAAUAUAAAAAAAUGAAUAUCAUAAACAUGUUUUCAUUUGAAUGAACACAAGGAAUUUGAAGGAACACAACAAAAUUGGAGAAAAAUCAUGAAAGUAACAUGAAAAGAAACCAAACAACAAGCUCAAAGUGUCCUUCUUAGAUGAUGUUUAACAUAUAAUAAAGAAUCAUCAUAUUAUUUCUACUUACUCAAACAAACUAACCUAUGAAUUGGUGAGUGCCAUUCAAAACCUAUAAUAAACAAAAUAAAGUUGAAAGAAAUGGUAUUAGUAUGUUGGAAAAAGAGCUGUUUUCUAUUUUGAAAUGUGAACCUUUGAAAAGAAAACCAUGCAUGUUCUCUUCUUAAUUAUAAAUCAUAUCAUUCUUCUUUAUUAUAUACAUAACAUCAUUGCAAAAUAAAGUUAAGGUUGCUGUCAUUAAUUUAGUAACUGUGUCUGUAAUUGAAAAUGAAACCCAGAAUAUAAAAUCAUUUAGUCUCCAUCAUGCAAACUUAAUGGUGAUAUAUUUAAUUCAUGAGACGUGCAUGACACUCUCAUCUCAAGUCAUGAGUGAUCUCAUACUUCUCCAAAUCAAAGUUGCAAAAUUUUAUAAAUAUAUAGAAAUUAAUUUGCAUUGACUGCAUAAAGUAAAACUUACAGGUUGGAAAAAAAAUCUCAAGAAGAUUUUAAACUCAAAAACUUUAUCAUGUGGAACAUUUUUCUAGGCACUUCAAGAACUUGUGGAAAAUGACUGCAAGUCAAACCUGGGUAGCUUUCCAUAAAUUGACGUGUAUCCAGAUUGUCCUGA